UACGUAGGAGACAAGCGUUGUCCGGAAUUACUGGGUGUAAAGCGCGUGUAGGCGGUAGGCCAAGUCUGCUGUGAAAUCGCCCGGCUCAACUGGGCGCGGUCGGUGGAAACUGGUCAACUGGAGGACGGUAGAGGCGAGUGGAAUUCCCGGUGUAGUGGUGAAAUGCGUAGAGAUCGGGAGGAACACCAGUGGCGAAGGCGGCUCGCUGGGCCGGUCCUGAUGCUGAGACGCGAAGGCGUGGGGAGCGAACGGG
rnacentral:rRNA from 1 species